GCCUGCCCUCAUGUCUCAAGAAUGUAUUUUCCCUUCUUGCCAAAUAAAACUGAGCUAUAACUGAGCUGUAACACUGGUCUGCCAUUUAAAUUGAGCUGUAACUGAACUGUAAUGCUGGUCUGCCUUUUCAAAUUUUUGCUGUGGCAAGACAGAACUGAGGAAAUGACACACUCCCCCAACAUAUCUGGCACCGUGUCUCUGAUUUAACCUGGCUGAAAAAAACUCAGCUUGGCCCCCUGCAAGGCGGAGGCCAAGCACAGCAGAAGCUCAACUUGGCAAAAGCUCAUAUAGUGGAAGCUGAACACGAAGAAAACCCAGUGCAGUGGAAAUGACAAGAAGCCCAGCGUGCUGGAAACCGGGACAGCAAAAACAAACUCGGCAGAAAGCUCAUGCAACUCAGUCUCAGAUUCCAGAAGGCCUCCAGUUAAGGACUGAAGUGGCCCGCUCCAGCCAGCCUGCUGGCACAGAUAACCAUCACAGGGCUGGAGCCAAGGGUACAGCUGGAUGCUGCAGUAACCUUGGACCACUGGACAAACCCCCAAGACGGAUUGAAGGAAGAUCCUCUGGCCAAUCCUGAGGAAAUCUGAUACGCUGAUGGAAGCAGCUUUGUCUUGGAUGGAAGAAGAAGAGCUAGAUAUGCAGUAGUCUUCAAUU